UGAACCGUGUCUUUGAAAACGCUAAAGUCAUAACACAGCAUCCUAAUUGGAUCUCUCCAUCUUUAGGAGGGAGAACAAUUGCUUUAAGCCAGUGUUUUUCAAACUGUGGUUGUGACCCAUUAAUAUGGGACCUGAUUUAACUGAUAUCUGACCCAUACUUUUUAGUGGCAUGUAACAGAAAGGCCGAAGUGUAUCUCCUAGAGUUUUGUGAAUUUUUUGUUUCAGUAGUGUGUAUGUAUAAGGGAUAUGCACAUGCUGGUUUGUAAUGGAAAAUAUAGUUCUUUUGUGGAACAAGCUCUGAAAGGUAGAAAAGAUCCACUUCUAGCAACUUUAGACGGAAAAGGAGCACUGGUGAUAUGUAAUUAGUACUAAGCCAGUCAACUCAACAACAGUGGCAGAAUUUCACAUGGUUCAUAUUAUAAAGAAAAAGUUUCAGGACUGAGAGUUCCUGCUGGGGAGAUCUGCGAGAUCUGCCAGGGGAGGCCUGGCCCACAGGGACAGCUGUGGACAGACACUGGAAAUGAGCCCCAAGGAUGAGCCUCCAGUUAAUCAAAACACAGAAAUGCAGCUCCUUUCUGCUUACCCUCCGAGGAGAGCUGUCCCUGUGGAGUAUGACUUCAAGAGGAGGAAUAACAGCGCCUGCGCCUGUCUUGCCCACCUGUCCAGCCCAUUUGUUACAACUGACCUCAACUGACCUUGCAGGCCCCUCUGCAUUGCCCCCCUCAGGAAGGAAAUCCAUUCAUGUGCUUCAUGCUUGGAGACAGAAUCAGAGAAGAGAGGGAGAGUCCCGCUGCAGCCCUCCUGAGCCUCUCACAAUACAGCAGUGGAGGGCCAUGCACAGGGACAUCAACCCCACUGAAGACGAACUUCUCUACCCUUGGAAGUCUGCUACGGAGACCCCGGACUUCCUCCCGCUUCCUGUGAUAAGCGGAGCUUCCUGAAUUUCCAGGAAGAGAACUGGAAGCCACCGAUCUCCUUUCCCACAGGGCCUCCCGUGCCUCUCUUGGGUUAGCUCUGAGAGUGUGGCCAUGGAGAACAGGCUGAGGAGGACAGUGCCUCUUCCAGGAGCUGGGCCCUAGAUCGCUCCAACUUGCGCCCUCAGUUCCCCUCUCUGCCUGCUCAGGCCCUUCGGUGCGCCAAGCUUGUUCCUGCCCCGGAGUCCCUGCGCAUGCUCUGUGCUCUGCCUGGCAUCUUCUCCUGCAUCUUCUCCUCUCCCCGCUCUGGGUCUCAGUCUGAAAUACUCCCUGCUUAGAACGGCUCCCCUGUGUGCCUGAUGCAGGACCCCAGGCUGCUCUGCACAGAGUCCUUCGCUCCCACCCCUCCCAGAACCUCGUCAAGCCCACAUCACUCUUUCUCAGCACCUAUUUCUUCUGUGGCCCUUACUGAACAAUUAUUUUAUUGCUUAGGCGCCUGCUCGUUUAUUUCUGCCUCCCCAGGAGAAGGUGCACCCUGAGAGGAAGGGUAGGAUUUUGUUUGUGCUGUGCCUCUUUGGGUCCCCAGCCCUUCACAACGCAGGCCACAGUAGCCAUGUGUGGAGUGAAUGGUGUCAGGCUAAUGUUGGUGGAGAUAAUUUUGCGGGACCCUCAGCAGUACGCUGUGUGCUUUGGUUUGUGUCCCUGGCAAUGCAGUGAGAGGGAACUGAGGCAGAGUUGUGAGGCUGGAGGCCGAGCUCUGCCCCCACCCAGCUGGGUGACUUGGCUUGGCCUCUUAACCUCUCCAGGCCACAGUCUCCUUCUGGGUACACUGGGGUUUCUGUUCCUUCUUUAUGAAAUUCCUCUCAGGUCUGAUAGUCCUAGAAGCAAAAGGCCUAAGAAUUCUAGAACAUCAGUGGCACAUACAGUAGAAUGUUAUUCCUUGACAAAAAGGCAUGAGGUACUGAUACAUGUUACAUCAGUGUAAAGUGAAACAAACAAACAAAAAACAGCCGCAGGAGACCACAUAUCCCAUUUGCACAGAAAGCCCAGAAUAAGCAAAUCCAUAAAGACGGCAAGUAGGUUACUAGUAGCCAGGGCUUGUCCAGAGGUGGAGAUUGGCCAUGGAUGGCCAUGGGGGAAUUAAGAGAAAGGGCACAUGGUUUACUUUUGAAAAUGUUUAGAAUCGAUGGCAGAGAUGGUUGCAUCAGUCUGUUAAGAAAAGUUGCAAGCAAAAACGCCGGGUUAUGCACUGUGAACGGGUAAAUUCUAUGGUGUGUGAAUCAUAUCUCUGUAAAGCUGUUUAUUUUAAAGGGCCUGUAUUCUCAUUGGACUUCAUGGUUUUCAGAGAACCUUCACAUAUAUUUUUAAAAUUAAUUUCUCAGCAUAAUUUUGCAUAUGUGAGAUGAAGGGAAGAGGAUAGCCAUGUAUUAUUGAUCACCCACGUGUGCCAGCCAUCAUGUGAAUUUUUGCUUGGUGUACAUAGUGUCAGAUUAAGGAGGGUGGGCUCUAGACCCAAACCACACGACUUCCAGUUCUGGCUGUGCUGCGCCGUGCAUUCGCUGGGUGAUCUGUGGGCAGAUUGUUGACCUGUUUCCUUACCUACAGCUAGAGUUGAACCGAUGAAGUGAGGUAAUGCAUGGAAAGUGGACAGUAUGAUCAUUAUUUGCUCUGUGCUUACAUGACCCCACCUGGUCCUCACAGUCCUCCCUGGAGAGAGGCCACACCCACUGCAAGCUACAGGAGAGAUGCUGAAGCUUGGUGGUAGCAGAUUUUAUUCAAGGCUAUACUUAAAGAAGGUGAAAAAGCAUGACCAGGACUGGGCUCGAGUACUUCCGGUGCCCUACCUUUUCCUCUCCUUCACACGGCUUCUUAGGCUCCAAUUAGAGGUGGAUGGUCCUAAUCUGCUUGCACCCUCUUGUGUUCAAGGUUAGACACUGGCAAGAUGCCAGACAGUCCUGCCGGGUCCCAUUGGUAGCGUCCACUCUCAUGGAGUGGAGGGAGACUAGUGCCUGGCAUUUAUCUGCGUAGGUAUUUCAUCAAAUACACUCCCUAAGGGUGGGUCUUUUUAGCUAAUCAAGGGCAAGAUGUUGAAAAGCUUUUCAUGUCCUAGUUCCCUUCAGUUCUGCUGCCUUACAUGGUACCCACUUGUCUUGCUGCGGGGCUAAGUGGAGCUGCCUCCGCCCUCUGUGGCAUCCUCUUGUGGCCAUGGGAAGGCCUCACACAGGCGACAAGAGCUGCAGGUCUGCCUAGCACAUGACUGCAGCCCCCACCCAUGAGCCCCAGCACCAGGGUUGUGGGGCUGGUGAGAGUUCGUCUCAAGAGUUUCCUCUGUAAAUAUUAUUUCUACAGGAUGUCCAAGUUUCAUAGCUCAUUUUCACUGGAUUUCUUUCUGGCUAAGUUUCCUAAACAUAUAUCCUUUUGCAAGCAGCGCCGGCAGGAAGGAGCAACACCCAGCCUGAGCCGCUCAUGUAGCUGCCUAGGUGUCCAGCUCUCCAGGAUGACCUCACCCCAGUUUUCCAGACAUACAUCCUCUUGCAGCUGCCACUGGGGAAGGAGGGAGCAUGAGAAAGGGGGCCUCAGAAAGAGAGGGAGGAGUGGCCGCAGUGCAGCAACCCCUUCCCCUCCAGCAGUGCAGGUCCAGGCGCGGAGAGCCGUUCCUUCCACACAUACUCGUGUGCCUGGUGUGGGAACUGUGCUCCGUGCACACAUGGUCCCCGCAGCCAGGGCUUACACAUGAUUAGGAGCCAGACACACCAACCCGUACAUGGUAAAACAGCGCAGAACAAGGGCCCCAUUUGUUUUUGAGCAAAUGCAAACAAAAGUGCAAAAACCAUAAUAAAAACUCUAUCUCCUUUCCCCUGUUCUUUCUCUAUAAAAUUUUCCCUCUUUUUUGUCCCUUCUUUCAAAGCUGAAAAUAAUAAACAGUCAAAAAAUGUUGUGGGGAAACACAGUAAACCCUUGAUGAAAACUUUGUAAAAAACACCAAUAUGUAUAGCUCUUGAAUAUAUAUUUAUGAAUGUAAAAUAGCGCACUAGAUAUACACUGAAUUCAUACAGUAGCUUCUCCGGGGAGGAUGAGAAGGACUAAGGCUAGGGAGAGGGAUGGGAAGAAUUGCCUCCUACCCUCACGCUUCAUUUAAAAAACAAGAACAAUUCUAUUUUUUU